UUAAAAGUCUAAUCUGCCCAAUGAUUUAAAAUUAAAUGGCCGCGGUAAAUUGACCGUGCAAAGGUAGCAUAAUAAAUAGUCUUUUAAUUGGAGGCUUGAAUGAAUGAUUGAAUGAAAAAUUAACUUAAUUAAUGUUAAUAAUUGAAAUUGAUUUUUAAGUAAAAAAGCUUAAAUAUAUAAGUGGGACGAGAAGACCCUAUAGAAUUUUGAAAAUUUUCUUGAGUUUAUUAAUUUGUAGUUAAUUAAUUUUUUUUAUUUAAUUGAUUUUUUUGUUGGGGUGAUAUUAAAAUAGAAUUAACUUUUAAUAAAUAUUUCAUGAAUAUAUGUUUUUAUUGAUCCAAAUUUUUGAUUAUAAGAAUAAAUUACCUUAGGGAUAACAGCGUAAUUAAUUUGAAGAGUUCAUAUCGAUAAAUAAGAUUGCGACCUCGAUGUUGGAUUAAGAAUAGGAAUUGGAGCAAAAUUUAUUAUUUCUGGGUCUGUUCGACCUUUAAUAU
rnacentral:rRNA from 1 species